UACGUAGGUGGCAAGCGUUGUCCGGAAUUAUUGGGCGUAAAGCGCGCGCAGGCGGUCCUUUAAGUCUGAUGUGAAAGCCCACGGCUCAACCGUGGAGGGUCAUUGGAAACUGGGGGACUUGAGUGCAGAAGAGGAGAGUGGAAUUCCACGUGUAGCGGUGAAAUGCGUAGAUAUUGGGAGGAACACCGGUGGCGAAGGCGGCCCUCUGGACCGGUACUGACGCUGAUGCGCGAAAGCGUGGGGAGCAAACGGG
rnacentral:rRNA from 1 species